ACGAACGCUGGCGGCGUGCUUAACACAUGCAAGUCGAACGCGCCAUCUCUUUUGGGGUGGUGAGUGGCGAACGGGUGAGUAACACGUGAGUAACCUGCCCCUGACUCUGGGAUAAGCCGUGGAAACGCGGUCUAAUACCGGAUAGGACCUUCUGCCGCAUGGUGGGGGGUGGAAAGGGUUUUUCUGGUUGGGGAUGGGCUCGCGGCCUAUCAGCUUGUUGGUGGGGUGGUGGCUCACCAAGGCGAUUACGGGUAGCCGGCCUGAGAGGGCGACCGGCCACACUGGGACUGAGACACGGCCCAGACUCCUGCGGGAGGCAGCAGUGGGGAAUCUUGCGCAAUGGGCGAAAGCCUGACGCAGCGACGCCGCGUGGGGGAUGACGGCCUUCGGGUUGUAAACCUCUUUUCCUUCUGGCGAAGGCCCUGGCUUUUGUUGGGGUUGACUGUAGGGGGGGAAUAAGGACCGGCUGACUACGUGCCAGCAGCCGCGGUAAUACGUAGGGUCCGAGCGUUGUCCGGAAUUAUUGGGCGUAAAGAGCUCGUAGGCGGCGUGUCGCGUCUGCUGUGAAAGCCCAUGGCUUAACUGUGGGUGUGCAGUGGAUACGGGCAUGCUUGAGGUAGGUAGGGGAGACUGGAAUUCCUGGUGUAGCGGUGAAAUGCGCAGAUAUCAGGAGGAACACCGGUGGCGAAGGCGGGUCUCUGGGCCUUACCUGACGCUGAGGAGCGAAAGCGUGGGUAGCGAACAGGAUUAGAUACCCUGGUAGUCCAUGCUGUAAACGUUGGGCGCUAGGUGUGGGGCCUUUCCACGGGUUCCGUGCCGUAGCUAACGCAUUAAGCGCCCCGCCUGGGGAGUACGGCCGCAAGGCUAAAACUCAAAGGAAUUGACGGGGGCCCGCACAAGCGGCGGAGCAUGUUGCUUAAUUCGAUGCAACGCGCAGAACCUUACCUCGACUUGACAUGCAUGUGGUACCAACCCGAAAGGGAAGGGACCCGCGAGGGAGCAUGCACAGAUGCUGCAUGGCUGUCGUCAGCUCGUGCCGUGAGGUGUUGGGUUAAGUCCCGCAACGAGCGCAACCCUUGUCCUUAGUUGCCUUCUCUAAGGAGACCGCCGGUCUAAACCGGAGGAAGGUGGGGAUGACGUCAAGUCAGCACGGCUCUUACGUCGAGGGCUACACACACGCUACAAUGGCCGGUACAACGGGCUGCGAAGGGGCGACCUGGAGCUAAUCCCACCAAAGCCGGUCUCAGUUCGGAUCGCAGGCUGCAACUCGCCUGCGUGAAGUCGGAGUUGCUAGUAACUGCUGGUCAGCACACAGCGGUGAAUACGUUCCCGGGCCUUGCACUCACCGC
rnacentral:rRNA from 1 species